GAUGAACGCUGGCGGCGUGCCUAAUACAUGCAAGUCGAGCGAACAGACGAGGAGCUUGCUCCUCUGACGUUAGCGGCGGACGGGUGAGUAACACGUGGAUAACCUACCUAUAAGACUGGGAUAACUUCGGGAAACCGGAGCUAAUACCGGAUAAUAUAUUGAACCGCAUGGUUCAAUAGUGAAAGACGGUUUUGCUGUCACUUAUAGAUGGAUCCGCGCCGCAUUAGCUAGUUGGUAAGGUAACGGCUUACCAAGGCAACGAUGCGUAGCCGACCUGAGAGGGUGAUCGGCCACACGGGAACUGAGACACGGUCCAGACUCCGACGGGAGGCAGCAGUAGGGAAUCUUCCGCAAUGGGCGAAAGCUUGACGGAGCAACGCCGCGUGAGUGAUGAAGGUCUUCGGAUCGUAAAACUCUGUUAUUAGGGAAGAACAAAUGUGUAAGUAACUAUGCACGUCUUGACGGUACCUAAUCAGAAAGCCACGGCUAACUACGU
rnacentral:rRNA from 1 species